rnacentral:rRNA from 1 species
AAUCAGUAGCGAUUGCAUGGUACCGAGGUC